rnacentral:pre_miRNA from 2 species
UGCUGUGGAUGAGCAAAAAAAGUGGUUUCCUGAGAUGGAAUCUACUCCUGGUGAAGAUGUUGUGAA